ACCCUUUGUCCUGGAUGGAGCCCGAGA
rnacentral:piRNA from 1 species